GGUCGGAUAGCUCAGCUGGUUAGAGCAUUGCGUUGACAUCGCAAAGGUCGCAGGUUCGAACCCUGCUUCGACCACAA
rnacentral:tRNA from 2 species